rnacentral:rRNA from 1 species
ACGAACGCUUGCGGCGUGCCUAAGAAAUGCAAGUCGAGCGGGGUUAUUGGGGCUUGCCCUGAUAAUCUAGCGGCGAACGGUCGCGUAACACGUAAGCAACCUGCCCCAGAGUGGGGGAUAGUCCGCCGAAAGGCGGCUUAAUACCGCAUGUGGAUAUUUGAUUGCAUGGUUAAAUAUUUAAAACAGCGAUGUGCUCUGGGAUGGGCUUGCGGCCUAUCAGCUAGUUGGUGUGGGUAACGGCCUACCAAGGCGACGACGGGUAGCUGGUCUGAGAGGAUGGUCAGCCGGACUGGGACUGAGAUACGGCCCAGACUCCUACGGGGGGCAGCAAUUAGGAAUCUUGCGCAAUGGGCGAAAGCCUGACGCAGCGACGCCGCGUGACUGAUGAAGUCUUUCGGGAUGUAAAAGUCUUUUUUGGGGGAAGAAGGAUGUGACGGUACCCCAAGAAUAAGCCCCGGCUAACUACGU